UUAAGUUAUUAAGGGCGCACGGUGGAUGCCUUGGCACUAGAAGCCGAUGAAGGACGUUACUAACGACGAUAUGCUUUGGGGAGCUGUAAGUAAGCUUUGAUCCAGAGAUUUCCGAAUGGGGAAACCCAGCAUGAGUUAUGUCAUGUUAUCGAUAUGUGAAUACAUAGCAUAUCAGAAGGCACACCCGGAGAACUGAAACAUCUUAGUACCCGGAGGAAGAGAAAGAAAAUUCGAUUCCCUUAGUAGCGGCGAGCGAAACGGGAAGAGCCCAAACCAACAAGCUUGCUUGUUGGGGUUGUAGGACACUCUAUACGGAGUUACAAAGGACGACAUUAGACGAAUCAUCUGGAAAGAUGAAUCAAAGAAGGUAAUAAUCCUGUAGUCGAAAAUGUUGUCUCUCUUGAGUGGAUCCUGAGUACGACGGAGCACGUGAAAUUCCGUCGGAAUCUGGGAGGACCAUCUCCUAAGGCUAAAUACUCUCUAGUGACCGAUAGUGAACCAGUACCGUGAGGGAAAGGUGAAAAGCACCCCGGAAGGGGAGUGAAAUAGAACCUGAAACCGUGUGCUUACAAGUAGUCAGAGCCCGUUAAUGGGUGAUGGCGUGCCUUUUGUAGAAUGAACCGGCGAGUUACGAUUUGAUGCAAGGUUAAGCAGUAAAUGUGGAGCCGUAGCGAAAGCGAGUCUGAAUAGGGCGUUUAGUAUUUGGUCGUAGACCCGAAACCAGGUGAUCUACCCUUGGUCAGGUUGAAGUUCAGGUAACACUGAAUGGAGGACCGAACCGACUUACGUUGAAAAGUGAGCGGAUGAACUGAGGGUAGCGGAGAAAUUCCAAUCGAACCUGGAGAUAGCUGGUUCUCUCCGAAAUAGCUUUAGGGCUAGCCUCAAGUGAUGAUUAUUGGAGGUAGAGCACUGUUUGGACGAGGGGCCCCUCUCGGGUUACCGAAUUCAGACAAACUCCGAAUGCCAAUUAAUUUAACUUGGGAGUCAGAACAUGGGUGAUAAGGUCCGUGUUCGAAAGGGAAACAGCCCAGACCACCAGCUAAGGUCCCAAAAUAUAUGUUAAGUGGAAAAGGAUGUGGCGUUGCCCAGACAACUAGGAUGUUGGCUUAGAAGCAGCCAUCAUUUAAAGAGUGCGUAAUAGCUCACUAGUCGAGUGACACUGCGCCGAAAAUGUACCGGGGCUAAACAUAUUACCGAAGCUGUGGAUUGUCCUUUGGACAAUGGUAGGAGAGCGUUCUAAGGGCGUUGAAGCAUGAUCGUAAGGACAUGUGGAGCGCUUAGAAGUGAGAAUGCCGGUGUGAGUAGCGAAAGACGGGUGAGAAUCCCGUCCACCGAUUGACUAAGGUUUCCAGAGGAAGGCUCGUCCGCUCUGGGUUAGUCGGGUCCUAAGCUGAGGCCGACAGGCGUAGGCGAUGGAUAACAGGUUGAUAUUCCUGUACCACCUAUAAUCGUUUUAAUCGAUGGGGGGACGCAGUAGGAUAGGCGAAGCGUGCGAUUGGAUUGCACGUCUAAGCAGUAAGGCUGAGUAUUAGGCAAAUCCGGUACUCGUUAAGGCUGAGCUGUGAUGGGGAGAAGACAUUGUGUCUUCGAGUCGUUGAUUUCACACUGCCGAGAAAAGCCUCUAGAUAGAAAAUAGGUGCCCGUACCGCAAACCGACACAGGUAGUCAAGAUGAGAAUUCUAAGGUGAGCGAGCGAACUCUCGUUAAGGAACUCGGCAAAAUGACCCCGUAACUUCGGGAGAAGGGGUGCUCUUUAGGGUUAACGCCCAGAAGAGCCGCAGUGAAUAGGCCCAAGCGACUGUUUAUCAAAAACACAGGUCUCUGCUAAACCGUAAGGUGAUGUAUAGGGGCUGACGCCUGCCCGGUGCUGGAAGGUUAAGAGGAGUGGUUAGCUUCUGCGAAGCUACGAAUCGAAGCCCCAGUAAACGGCGGCCGUAACUAUAACGGUCCUAAGGUAGCGAAAUUCCUUGUCGGGUAAGUUCCGACCCGCACGAAAGGCGUAACGAUUUGGGCACUGUCUCAACGAGAGACUCGGUGAAAUCAUAGUACCUGUGAAGAUGCAGGUUACCCGCGACAGGACGGAAAGACCCCGUGGAGCUUUACUGUAGCCUGAUAUUGAAAUUCGGCACAGCUUGUACAGGAUAGGUAGGAGCCUUUGAAACGUGAGCGCUAGCUUACGUGGAGGCGCUGGUGGGAUACUACCCUAGCUGUGUUGGCUUUCUAACCCGCACCACUUAUCGUGGUGGGAGACAGUGUCAGGCGGGCAGUUUGACUGGGGCGGUCGCCUCCUAAAAGGUAACGGAGGCGCUCAAAGGUUCCCUCAGAAUGGUUGGAAAUCAUUCAUAGAGUGUAAAGGCAUAAGGGAGCUUGACUGCGAGACCUACAAGUCGAGCAGGGUCGAAAGACGGACUUAGUGAUCCGGUGGUUCCGCAUGGAAGGGCCAUCGCUCAACGGAUAAAAGCUACCCCGGGGAUAACAGGCUUAUCUCCCCCAAGAGUUCACAUCGACGGGGAGGUUUGGCACCUCGAUGUCGGCUCAUCGCAUCCUGGGGCUGUAGUCGGUCCCAAGGGUUGGGCUGUUCGCCCAUUAAAGCGGUACGCGAGCUGGGUUCAGAACGUCGUGAGACAGUUCGGUCCCUAUCCGUCGUGGGCGUAGGAAAUUUGAGAGGAGCUGUCCUUAGUACGAGAGGACCGGGAUGGACAUACCUCUGGUGUACCAGUUGUCGUGCCAACGGCAUAGCUGGGUAGCUAUGUGUGGACGGGAUAAGUGCUGAAAGCAUCUAAGCAUGAAGCCCCCC
rnacentral:rRNA from 2 species